rnacentral:lncRNA from 1 species
AGUGUUUUUGCUGACGUGUCGGACUCUCGGCUCUUGUUGAGCCCUUGAUUUUGCGUAAUUACUUAAAUACCCUCUAUUAAAUUAAUUCGAAUAUUAAUUAAAAUUAAAAAAAAUAACUGACCAUAAAAUAUAAAAAUUCGAUAUAUUUUACAUUUUUAAAAAUAGUAAUAUUCUUAAACACGAAAAAAUGAAAAAAAUAAAUAAAUUUGGAUCAAAUGUAGUUUACAUACCUUUUUAUGACGGUUUAUCGUUCGACCAAGAACAUCCAAUGACCACCAAGAACUUGUUAUCCUACCAUAAAACAUACAUUCAUAGCAAUAACAGAAAUUUGGCAAUUUAAUGAUAGAAAACCACCUUUUGAUCUGUUGAAUCAUCAUAGAAAACCAUCAUAUUGGCCAUCCUUUGUCUUUAAACCAUCAUAUUGAUAUGAUCUUGCAUCCUACAAUUGCAACCAAUCAAACAAACUAUUCUUUUAAAUUACCUUAGAUAAUAAAGAGACUAAUGAGUUUCGUGGGAAAGAUUUUCAGGAUAUUCGUUUUGGAGCAUGCACAAAAUCGACGGGUAUAUUAAUCUCCACCAAUCUAAUCAUGGUCGUGAGUCACAUACAAUUACGUCGGAGAAAGGAUUGGUCGUGUCUUCUUCUUUUCUCUUCCUUUUCCGUGUUUUUUUAUCCUUUUUGGUUCUUUUUGUUUUUUUUUCAACAAAAGAUGUGUCUCAUAAUUAAUCGUUUAAUUAUAUUUUUGAUAUAUUAAUGAUAAAUUUAUGUUGUGAUAAUUACGAGCCAAUUGUUUUUAAAAGUAAAAUUUACUUUUCUAAAAUAUAUAGAUAUUGCCGAUAAUAUCAAAACAACUAUCAUAUAUUCUUUAAAUUCACAAAUCUGAUAAAAUAAAAGCAACUUUCUUUUAUAUUUUAUACCGAUAAUGAUGGUGUAGCUAAAAAAAUGUCAAAUAUAAUUGUAAAUCUAAAAAAAAUUAUGUUAUUGUUCCAUUUUUUAACAAAUAAAAUAAGGAAUAUUUUUUUAUAAUUAAUAUCCAUAGUAAUUAUUAAUUGUUUUUAGGAAUAUUAAUUGUUUUAUAAAGAUUUGAUCUAACACAAUAUAUAAAUCUUCCUUUCUUGUUGUUGUAAUUAUCUUCAAAAAUUAAAAAAUUUUGAUCGUACACCGCCUUUCAGUUUAAUAUAAAUACCUUCUCUAGGUUUCACUUUCAAAUCAUAACUAACCCCAUUUUUUUUGCUUUCUAUUUUUUUUUUUUGCGUUUUAUUUUAUUUGGCUUUACACAUAUGAAUUCAUGGUGUUUAUGUAUGGUUAUAGGUUACGGAUGCAACGUCGUUAAACAAUUCAAGGACAAUUAAAUUGCUGAUUCAAUCGAACAUAUGGUGAGUUUUUCACUUUAGUACUUUCAUGUUUAAUAUUUAAAUUAUGCUUGGAUGUAUUGAGAAAUCUAUAAGCUUUCCCAUAAUAUUUUGCGAGCAGCUUAGAUUUCAUAUUCUUCACUAAAAAAAAAAAAGCUUUGAUUUUGUAUUUACCAUAUUCUUCACUAAAAAAAAAGAAGCUUUGAUUUUGUAUUUACAUAAUUUGAUAUCAGUUUGAUUAUUGCUUCCAUCAUGAUGCAAAUUACGGCCUCUCAACAACCCUAAUAGACUAUAAUCGUUGGGAACUCUUCUUUUUCUCUUGCUUCUCUCUGAUUAUCUUUCACCAGGAGUCUCAAUUAUUAUUAUUUCUUUGUAUUGAUGCGAUCAGAAGUUUUAUCUCUUUUUUAAAUACUGAUCUCUUUGUGGAUUUUUCAUUUAGGUAUGAACAUGUUCGUUUCACGGGGUGUUUCGGUGUCUUGCCUUAAAUCAAGGCGUGUAAAAACGUAAAGCUUGUUUUUAUCUAUCUAUUUUUAUUGUCACGUCUUUAUCCAUCUAUGUAACGCUUAAUCAUCAAUUAUUAUAUUAAACUUCAAUAAAGGCAACAACAUCUUGGUUGGUUUGUUUUAUCUGAUUAGUGUACCAAAUUCAAUUGGAACUAUAUCAGAUCCAUGAAAUUAUUGAUUAUUGAUACAUGCAGGUUAUGUGUGAUCCUUAUACACCAGCUGGCGUUCCAUUUCCAACCAACAAGAGGCACAACGCUGCUAAAAUUUUCAGACACCCAUCGUUGCCUCCGAGGAGCCUCUAUAUAUAACAAUAUUUGAGAAGUGUUUUUGCUGACGUGUCGGACUCUCGGCUCUUGUUGAGCCCUUGAUUUUGCGUAAUUACUUAAAUACCCUCUAUUAAAUUAAUUCGAAUAUUAAUUAAAAUUAAAAAAAUAACUGACCCUAAAAUAUAAAAAUUCGAUAUAUUUUACAUUUUUAAAAAUAGUAAUAUUCUUAAACACGAAAAAAUGAAAAAAAUAAAUAAAUUUGGAUCAAAUGUAGUUUACAUACCUUUUUACGACGGUUUAUUGUUCGACCAAGAACAUCCAAUGACCACUAAGAACUUGUUAUCCUACCAUAAAACAUAUAUUCAUAGCAAUAACAGAAAUUUGGCAAUUUAAUGAUAGAAAACCACCUUUUGAUCUGUUGAAUCAUCAUAGAAAACCAUCAUAUUGGCCAUCCUUUGUCUUUAAACCAUCAUAUUGAUAUGAUCUUGCAUCCUACAAUUGCAACCAAUCAAACAAACUAUUCUUUUAAAUUACCUUAGAUAAUAAAGAGACUAAUGAGUCUCGUGGGAAAGAUUUUCAGGAUAUUCGUUUUGGAGCAUGCACAAAAUCGACGGGUAUAUUAAUCUCCACCAAUCUAAUCAUGGUCGUGAGUCACAUACAAUUACGUCGGAGAAAGGAUUGGUCGUGUCUUCUUCUUUUCUCUUCCUUUUCCGUGUUUUUUUUUUAUCCUUUUUGGUUCUUUUUGUUUUUUUUUUCAACAAAAG